AGACGUGGCCGAAGUGGGCCAAAAUGUAGUACAUGUUGUUACCAGCUUAACAUAUGAUACAGCUUGUAUGUGGGCUUAAUAUAUCAAACUGAUUUUUGCAAGUUGACGGAGAGAUUAAAGGCUGCUCCACCUCCAGCGCAGGUCAACCCGGUAUAGGACUAUUUUCGGGAUUGGCUUACGUAUG